AUCACCGUAGGUUUUACAGCAUAUUGCAGUACUGCUAGAUGUUAGGGCUGCUGGAACCUACUCCAGAAUUCAAACAACAACAAAGUGGACACCCCAUCACUUUUUCUGGUGAUCAAAUGAGGGACAGGGCUGGAGAAAUGGAAACCCUCUCAAAUGCAUUGAUGCAUUUCUACGUUUAUUGAUAAGUGAUGUUCUUUAAGAAUCAGUUUAGCAUUUAAAUCAUUCAUUUGAAAGUAAAACAACGUUUUACCAAUCCCAGAUUUCCCCUUUAAAGUGUUGCAUGUACUGUAUCUAAGAAUAGUUGUUUUCUUCAGGUUUGUGAGCUGAAAUGUACUGUAUCUAAGAAUAGUUGUUUUCUUCAGGUUUGUGAGCUGAAAUGUACUGUAUCUAAGAAUAGUUGUUUUCUUCAGGUUUGUGAGCUGAAAUGUACUGUAUCUAAGAAUAGUUGUUUUCUUCAGGUUUGUGAGCUGAAAUGUACUGUAAAAGAGGUCAGUGGUGGUUAAACACUGGUAUACAGUUCAGGUCCCAGUGGGACCAUUUUACACACAUAUGUGCCGACAUAUGUAGCUGUGCGACCCGGAAUGCCUAGAAAAACAAAGGAUUCUGUCUCUAUUGUCUCAAAUAUUUUUCAUUGUGCUCCUAAAUGUCUUUGUGUGCGUCUACAUUUUCCAACUUCGGCACGCACGUGCUCCUUGUAAAAAAGAAAAGGUCAGCGCAGAGGUCUGGGUGAGUGAUAUACAUUUCAGGUCACUGGGACACCGUUAACCCUCUGGGACCAGACACUAUAGAAAAACAUAGAUAUGAAGAUUCAAUGGGGACUUUGUAAACAUUCGGCAGCAAGGCAUUUUUCAAGACAAGUUUUCUACUUUCUGAACUACUCACCCGCACCUGGGAUUUAUAUUCAUCCAUCUCCACGGCUACGGCUGCUGGGAAAUCUGUUGGUGACCAAUGACAGAGAAGGUUUUGUACCCUACACUACAUUACCAAAAUGUCAGGCACAGAUGUUGGGUGAUUAGGUGUGGUUUGCAGUCGGCGUUCCAAUUCAUCCCAAAGGUGUUUGAUUGGGUUGAGGUCAGAGCUCUGUUAUGGCCCGUCAAGUUCUUCCACACCGAUCUAGACAAACCAUUUCAGUAUAGACUUCGAUUUGUACAUGGGGGCAUUGAAACAGGACAAUGCUCUUGCCACAAAGUUGGAAGCACCGAAUCAUCUAAAAUGUAAUUGUAUGCUGUAGCGAUAAGAUUUCCCUUCACUGGAACUAAGGGGCCUAGCCCGAACCAUGAAAAACAGCCCCAGACCAUUAUUCCUCUUCCACCAAACUUUACAGUUGCACUAUGCAUUUGGGCAGGUAGUGUUAUCUUGGCAUCCGCCAAACGCAGAUUCGUCCGUCGGACUGCCAGAUUGUGAAGUGCGAUUCAUCACUCCAAGAGAACGCGUUUCCACUGCUCCAGAGUCCAAUGGCGGUGAGCUUUACACCACUACAGCCAACGCUUGACAUUACGUAUGAUGAUCUUAGACUUGUGUGCAGCUGCUCGGCCAUGGAAACCUAUUUCGUGGAGCUCCUGACAAGCAGUUCUUGUGCUGACGUUGCUUCCAGAGGCAGUUUUGAACUUUGUAGUGAGUGUUACAACCGAGGACAGACGACAAGACCUUAUUAUGUGGUCACUCACAUUUCCAUGGAAACUCCUACCAGACACAAGUGCAAUGGCCAUCUUAUUUUGAUCCUUAUUUUAUCCUCUAGGGGAGUCGAGGAAAAACAGCGAAAACAACGCAAUUAUAUAACUCACAAACACAAUUUGCAUUUCCUUCUCAUGUCCUCUAAAUAUAACUUUCAAAAGUAACGUUUAAUUACACACUUUUUAGUAUUUUUUAUUUCCGCUGCAUUGAGGCGGAGGGUUUUUGAAGUCGCUCAGGCAUUUUCUAUAUAUUUUUCUUCUUUUCGGGCUGUAAUUACACACGUUGAUCUGAGAAGUGGAGAGAAACUUUCAAGCACUCCCAUUUAAACACAUGUACCUGGAGACUCGGUUAAGAACAUCACCUAACUCUCAGCAUUAGAAAGAUGGUUGGAAAACAUGAACUAUGUUCAAUAUAGCGCUUUUUGACAGUUAUUUUCAUCUUUUUUAAUAAAGAUAUGUAAAAAAAAAUUGACUAGGCAUUAUAUCAAAUAUGAUCAGACUUGGCCUCAAUUACUAUUUGAAAUCUUUCAAAUACUUUUUUUGCCUGUCUGGUGGACGAGGUUUGACGUUUUGAGACUAUUCGAUUGGUUUAUUAAACCAGGCCAUAUUAUUCGACUGGAAAUGAUGUCGGCUAGUUGUGGUAAUAACAUACAGUAACUCCCUGGGGGAAAGACAAGUCAUAUGAAUCAUCCCAGCCUGUCUUCAGUUUACUUCUCUCUCUCUCUCUCUCUCUCUCUCUCUCUCUCUCUCUCUCUCUCUCUCUCUCUCUCUCUCGGUAAAGAAAACAAUCAUGACUCAUCACUUUUCAAUUAGCGGUUAAAUCGGCGCUAAUUCAUUAAUUAAUUUAAGUGCUCAGGUGGAACCAAACACUGCCUGAAUCGGAUCCCCAGGGGAACCAGAAGGGCGCAACACCACUCAAACAGCUCUCCUCUGGAGUUUCAAACAGGAACCAAAAUAAGAUGGCAGAACACAAGCUUUGAUCAUUCCGUGAAACACCAGCCUAUUUUCCCCCUAUAAACAAAUCAUCAAAUGGCCCUUUAAUUAAUGAAGGGAAAAACAUCCUCUCUAAGUCUAAGAUACCAUCCACUGGUACUGUGCAACAUUAAAGAGCCACUGUUUUAGUCAAGAUGCUAUCGUUGGACAGAUCCUUUAAAGUCAGAAUAAUUAAAUUCAAGGGAAGGCCCCUCCAGUGCCGCCACCUACCUAAUCAAGGAAGAUGACGUUAAACUUGUGAAUAUUUUUAUCCUCUGGAAAACUUUAUCCAGCCCUCAUCUUAGUCUUCGAGCCCAUAUCCUUGGAGAGGCUUCCUUUAACCACCAGAAACGUCGGAGACGGCAACAGCCGCGUUGCCGCAGGGACCACAGCUCUUGUGCUUAGUCGGGUGUGUUCGCCAAAAAUAGCCCAGUGGAGACGUUACAGGGGCGUUGCCGGGGCGACGGGCUAUUUUAUACCUGACUCUAACAACGAGCUCGGCUCCCGACAACCUAAGAAGAAAGCCGGUGCCAGAGGUUAGCGAGGUUACAGAGGAAAUCAAGGCCUCGUUUACAUAUCCCAUCCCUCCCUUGUUGUGGUCUCCGCAGAGAUGAGUCGAGAGAAUCGCAACUUUUUCCGCCUUCCUUUUGUGUGUAACUCACAGAACAAAAUGACAUUUAUUUUUAGUUGUCUUUGAACAUAACAGUAGCUGCAGGUGUGGCUGCACUGUGAGACCCAGCCGUGCCGUAAAUGUAUACAUCAAUAUAUAUAUAUGCAGACCCCACCUCGUCAACAAAGCAACAAACACCAUCUCCCAGGGUGGGGUGUCAUUAAAAUAAAUUGCUGUGUACACCGGGCGGAGACGCGGUGUGGAGCGCUGAGCUGCGAAACAAGGGAUGUUUAAAACGCAGACCCAGAGCCUCUGUCCCUCUGAGGAGAGUGAUGCGGCUUUGAGGGAAAAGCACACUUUGUACGCUGUAAUUAACACCCCGCUGGGUUGUGUGUGCGUCUCUCACGACUCACUGCCAUUCUCCCAACUACCAUCUCCACCACCUCUGGGUCUGGGCCCAGUUGGUCAUGUGACGCAGGUGAAAAACCCAGGAAGCGGCGGUUGAGGUCAGCUGGGGCGCCACCAUUUUGUGUGCCCAGUUGGGACGCCACAAGGUUCCCACCUAUUUCAACCAUAACUGAAACAGUGAUUCUACAUUACUGAACUGUAUUCUUGUGACUGUCAGCUGUGGCAUAGAGAAACACACACUGCCCUCGCCGCCAUGGUUACUUCAUAAUCACAAACCCUUAUUAUAAUCGUCCUAUAAUAUAUUCUAGUCUUCUCUUCUCUGUUGUCGUGUUACAAUAGCUGUCUCUGCAAGCCUUCAACGUGACCGAGCCCAUCUAUUGUGAUUAGAGAGGAUUUGUUUCCUAACCAACCUCUAUAAAACGUAUUAAACUCACCACACUGAGACUCAUUAGACAGUGAAUAUCUUGUCUCCAUCUAUACACACCAGACAGAAAGCAUAUUGUUUUCAUUCGUUUAAAAUAUCGCCGGAGUGAUGAGAAUAGCAAUGUUGUUAGGGACUGAAGGGAAUCAGCCAACGAGGAGUAUAAAGAACUAGUUGGAAAGCAGCCACUGAAGGCGAGAAGAGAAGAAGAGAUGUAUUCAUUUAUUUUUUAUAUUAACAUCCUCUACAGGUAUUGUACUAUCAACCACCAUGCCCCACCUCGGCCAUUUUAUAAUUAGCCGGUUGAUAGCAAAUGGCUCUUUUGAGAGAGGGAGAGAGGGUGGGAGAGAGAGGGAGUUCAUUUUUGUGCAUGGUGUUAACUGUCCUCUCCUGAGCAGCGUGGUGGAGAGACAUUUUCAGGGAAGAGAUGUAAGAGUCAUUCCCUCACACAACUGUCAAGAAUCAAUUUACGCUUUGCCACUUUCUGACUGAGAGACGCUAGAGGACCAGGGUUUUAUGUACUGGGGAAUGGAUAGUACUGAGGUUCCACUGUCCCUGACUGGACCAGGGUUAAAUGUACUGUGGAAUGGAUAGUACUGAGGUUCCACUGUCCCUGACUGGACCAGGGUUAAAUGUACUGUGGAAUGGAUAGUACUGAGGUUCCACUGUCCCUGACUGGACCAGGGUUAAAUGUACUGGGGAAUGGAUAGUACUGAGGUUCCACUGUCCCUGUCUGGACCAGGGUUAAAUGUACUGGGGAAUGGAUAGUACUGAGGUUCCGCUGUCCCUGACUGGACCAGGGUUAAAUGUACUGGGGAAUGGAUAGUACUGAGGUUCCACUGUCCCUGUCUGGACCAGGGUUAAAUGUACUGGGGAAUGGAUAGUACUGAGGUUCCGCUGUCCCUGACUGGACCAGGGUUAAAUGUACUGGGGAAUGGAUAGUACUGAGGUUCCGCUGUCCCUGACUGGACCAGGGUUAAAUGUACUGGGGAAUGGAUAGUACUGAGGUUCCACUGUCCCUGACUGGACCAGGGUUAAAUGUACUGGGGAAUGGAUAGUACUGAGGUUCCACUGUCCCUGUCUGGACCAGGGUUAAAUGUACUGGGGAAUGGAUAGUACUGAGGUUCCACUGUCCCUGACUGGACCAGGGUUAAAUGUACUGGGGAAUGGAUAGCACUGAGGUUCCACUGUCCCUGACUGGACCAGGGUUAAAUGUACUGGGGAAUGGAUAGUACUGAGGUUCCACUGUCCCUGACUGGACCAGGGUUAAAUGUACUGGAGAAUGAAUAGUACUGAGGUUACACUCUGACUCCCUGACUCGUUUUUCCUCACUUUGCUCACCAAUGGCUGUGUCCUAAAUGGCACGCUAUUCCCUUUAUAUUAUAGUGCACUACUUUUGACUAGAACCCUAUGGGCCCUGGUCAAAAGUAGUGCACUGAUUAGGGUGUGAGUUGGGACACAACCCAAGUAUGAUGAAGCCCUAUAUAAUUUUCCUCUUCUGGUAUAAUUGGUGGAUUUCACAGUAGAAUUCUACUUAAUAUAAUACAUGUACAUACUGGUCAAAAGUAGUGCACUCAAUGGAGAUUGGGCUGCCAUUUGGGAUGCAUGCCAAGAUGUUGAAUCAUCAGCCUGAAGAAUAUCCAAACUCCCCUUCAGAUCCCAUUAAUAAUGGAUGGCCACAAGGGGUUGUAGAGUUAUCUUCACUAGACUGAUGUAUGGUGGCUGGGGUGUCAUGAAUCAACAUGAAAUGCAAUAAAACCAGCACCGCUAAAAGCAUGUUAUUUUAUAUGGGGCCGCGAGCUGACUUCUGGUCAUGUGAUAUCUCUGACAGACUCUUAUCGGCCACGCUUUAGGGUCUCUGAGUAUUUGAUAUUUCAUGUUAGGGACGUAGCGAGAGAGGGCGCGACUCAAAACAAUGUUAAUAUUCAGAAGAGAUCAUCAAUUUUGACCCGAGGGCAGUGAAUUAAAAGUCAUUUUGUGGAAAAAGACCAGUUAUACCCUCAUAAAAAUGCAGCCUCUUCUGGUGUUGAUGUCUGAAUAUUAAAAAAAAAACACUUUUGGGCUCAUUAGAGAGCUAUUGUCUUAAUAAGAAGUAGGUUUUCUCAUGCAGAGUUCUAGUUUUCAAUAGCAUUGUUAACAAUGGGCCGUGUAAACUGUGGUCUUGUUCCGUUCACCACGGCUGCGUCCCAAAUAGCACCCUAUUCCCUAUAUAGAGCACUGCUUUUGACCACAGGCCUGUAGACGGGUUAGCUGACAACCUUAGGAAAACAAUGUGCGCGUCAGUGGGGCAGAAUGCGGUGUGUUGUUAUGGUUCUGAACGGCCAAAUCCCUAGAAACAAUGACAAGAAACGACCAUCGUAGCUGACUCGUUUCAGCUAGUUGUAUCGUGUUCUUGAUGCCAUGUCUUGUUUUGAGGAGUUUUGACUGGUGUCACAAUAUGGUGUCGCAAAAUAUGUGCUAGCUAGCAAACUCUAACGAUGUAUUUGAGAGACAACAAGUGCUGAUUGUGCAAAUGUAUUUAUGUUUUCAAUAACCAUCGGAAACUAAAUAAAGUUUACGUGUUGUCAACAUUCUAAGCCAACCCUGUCAGUUUUGCCCCAUAGUUGCCCCACCCCUCGGUGUUGUUGCUAACCAACCAUCCAGUCUAUGGAACCUUGUCAAAAGUAGUGCACUACAAAGGGAAAGGGCUGCCAUUGGGGACAUAAAUUUUGAAAUGCUUCACCAGCAUAUUAUUCUAGCCCGCUAAUAUUGGCACGUACCGUGGGUUUCUCCCUUAAAUGUAAUCCAACAAUAAAGUCGCGGCUGGAACAGUCACGUAACGUUUAGCAAACCUGUUAUUAUUUUACAAGUGUUUCAAUUCCUGGGCUACAUUUAAAAAAAGAUGAUUGUUCUUGCAAGUAAUAGAGAAAAACAUGAAAUUGCCCCCAAGUUUAGUUAUUGCUAUUCUUAAAGUGUGUCUGUUGCAGCUAAACUCCUGGUGUUAUUGGAAGAGGUCUGCAGGGUGGGAGAAACUAGGAAACAUUGGAGCUCCGGACAAUUGGACAUUAGGGGUUAGUGUAGUGGUGUACAGUCUCUCUCUCUCUCUCUCUCUCUCUCUCUCUCUCUCUCUCUCUCUCUCUCUCUCUCUC